CAUCAUCAUCAUCAUCAUCAUCAUCAUCAAUUAAUCAUCUUAUAAUAGAAGUUCAGAAAUGCUUUAUUUAAAUUUCGGUUUAGUUUUUGGUUUUAGAAUUUCUUAGCAAAUAUAAAGACGGCUACAUUAUGAAGCGAUGUUGAUGAUGCAGAUUUAAUCUUUAGUCAAACAGCUCUCUUUGCACACAAAAAAUAAAAUAAAAAAUAAAACAGCUCUGAACUUUAAAUUUGAUUUCAUGUUUCUUGAACAACAAUUUAAACCAUACAUCUAUACACUUCUGGAUCGAUUAUUCAGUUACGUUGGGAUCGAAUCGGUAUAUCCAG
rnacentral:lncRNA from 1 species